rnacentral:rRNA from 1 species
GAUGAACGCUGGCGGCGUGCCUAAUACAUGCAAGUCGAGCGAACAGAUAAGGAGCUUGCUCCUUUGACGUUAGCGGCGGACGGGUGAGUAACACGUGGGUAACCUACCUAUAAGACUGGAAUAACUCCGGGAAACCGGGGCUAAUGCCGGAUCACAUUUAGAACCGCAUGGUUCUAAAGUGAAAGAUGGUUUUGCUAUCACUUAUAGAUGGACCCGCGCCGUAUUAGCUAGUUGGGAAGGUAACGGCUUACCAAGGCAACGAUACGUAGCCGACCUGAGAGGGUGAUCAGCCACACUGGAACUGAGACACGGUCCAGACUCCUACGGGAGGCAGCAGUAGGGAAUAUUCCGCAAUGGGCGAAAGCCUGACGGAGCAACGCCGCGUGAGUGAUGAAGGUCUUCGGAUCGUAAAACUCUGUUAUUAGGGAAGAACAAAUGUGUAAGUAACUGUGCACGUCUUGACGGUACCUAAUCAGAAAGCCACGGCUAACUACGUG